UACGAAGGGGGCUAGCGUUGCUCGGAAUCACUGGGCGUAAAGGGUGCGUAGGCGGGUCUUUAAGUCAGGGGUGAAAUCCUGGAGCUCAACUCCGGAACUGCCUUUGAUACUGAGGAUCUUGAGUUCGGGAGAGGUGAGUGGAACUGCGAGUGUAGAGGUGAAAUUCGUAGAUAUUCGCAAGAACACCAGUGGCGAAGGCGGCUCACUGGCCCGAUACUGACGCUGAGGCACGGAAGCGUGGGGAGCAAACAGG
rnacentral:rRNA from 1 species